GAUAAACGCUGGCGGCGUGCAUAACACAUGCAAGUCGAACGAUGAAACUUAGCUGAUUUCUUCGGAAUGAAAUUAAGUGGAUUAGUGGCGAACGGGUGAGUAACACGUGAGUAACCUGCCUUACACAAGGGGAUAGCCUUUGGAAACGAAGAAUAAUACCCUAUAAAGUUAGUCAAUCGCAUGGUAGACUAACCAAAGAUUUAUCGGUGUAAGAUGGACUUGCGUCUGAUUAGCUAGUUGGUGAGAUAAAAGCCCACCAAGGCGACGAUCAGUAGCCGGCUUGAGAGAGUGUACGGCCACAUUGGGACUGAGACACGGCCCAAACUCCUACGGGAGGCAGCAGUGGGGAAUUUUGCACAAUGGGGGAAACCCUGAUGCAGCGACGCCGCGUGAUUUAGAAGGCCUUCGGGUUGUAAAAAUCUUUUUUAUGGGAUGAAAAUGACAGUACCAUAAGAAUAAGGUCCGGCUAAAUACGUGCCAGCAGCCGCGGUAAUACGUAUGGACCGAGCGUUGUCCGGAAUCAUUGGGCGUAAAGGGUACGUAGGCGGCCUAGUAAGUUAGAAGUGAAAUAAUAUAGCUCAACUAUAUAAAGCUUUUAAAACUGUUAGGCUUGAGAGAUGAAAGGGAAAGUGGAAUUCCUAGUGUAGCGGUGAAAUGCGCAGAUAUUAGGAAGAAUACCGGUGGCGAAGGCGACUUUCUGGUCAUCAUCUGACGCUGAGGUACGAAAGCGUGGGUAGCAAACAGG
rnacentral:rRNA from 1 species